rnacentral:lncRNA from 1 species
UCCCCAGCCGGCGGGGAGGCUGCGGGGCACGGCGGGCAGGCACAGCUCACACGGGGAGCUGGAGCAGCCCAGCGGGCAGGCACAGCUCGCACGGGGAGCUGGAGCAGCCCAGCUCCGCUCCGUGCGCCGCUUUUGAGCGCUGGCAGCUGACCCGCACGGAGCCGGGAGGGCCCCGCUGCCAUUGGCCCCGCACGGGGCUGCUCUGGCGCUGCUCCCUGGGAUUUGUAGUUGCCACAGUCACUCCAAUGUUAAACCGGAGCUCCCGCCCACACCGCAGGGCUCCGGACACUGAAAUGUGCCGGAGAUUUCUCUCACCAUCACCUGCGCAGCCACAGCAAACAGGCACGCACCGAGAGCUGCCCUGCACAUGGGCCAUCUUCUGUUCAAGUUCUAUUUACAACUUUUGCCACCACCUUCACUCUCUGAAGGCUUCCUUGGUGCACAGACACUGCUGCUGAACACCGAACAGCGAUGGUACACCGCUCACUGACCAACUAAAACUGCCUGAGGACACGAAACACUCACUGCCUACCAUCAAAUUAAACACAACUUCUCAUGCCAAGUUACUUUCAGACUGAGUAUUGAAGGUCUGUACAGUGUGCAAAACACAUUACUCAUGAAACUCAUUCUACAUUGAGGUGAAAUACCUGAAUUUUCAACUAUGAUUAACGACCAAGGCCUCAGCCCAACAGCAACUCUGGACACGUUUGGUGUCCCCCAUGAUCUGUUGAUUUCAAAAGAUUACUUCCUAACCUAACCACAUGCUGGUGUCUUUGCCCUGGAGCCUUAGGAGUUCUGGUAUUACAUUUCCCACCCCUACAAGAUCUCUGCAACCCAAGAUGUCAUUAAUGUCAUUUCAUGUCAUUAACUCCUGAUGUUUCCUUAGCAGCUGAAAUCGAUGCUGUGAGUGGUUAUGCAGUUCCAGAUGCAGUGACCCUGUAGGAGAACAGAUGCCCAGGAUGUGACCAAGGCUGGAACAGGUCGUGUGUGAAUCAGUGAAGGGCCCAGUGACCAUUCAGAGCUAUUUAUGAAUAACAAAUAUAUAAUUUUUGCAUCCACAAGAGCUUUAAUAUCUGCAAUAAUAAUGUUCUGCAAUGACAUUCAAUAUUAAUCUUCCACCAUUUCCUCUUCAGGGUUGCAUCGUCUGAAAAUUUCUACUUUUACUGCAUGUUCAGAUAGCCUACUAAGACUAUAAAAUAUACAAAGUAACUAAAAGCAAUAAUACUAAAAGAAAAAGCACAAUCUUUGGUUAAGCCAUUUAAAUCUGAUAGAAAACUCUACCAGCAUAUUUCUCUGAGUAAAUAAAACAACAGAAUUUUUUUUUCA